UAUUAGAGGGGAGGAGAACAUGCCUAAGGGCUCUUCUUCUUGCCAUUUUAGAACUUCCAUGUAUCCUUAUCCUCUCCAAAUGAAAUCCACAUUUAGUUGAAGAUCCAUACCCUUUCUUACAUUUUUUCUUCAACCAAACAAGGGAAGUUCAUCCGAGAAGAAGGUUUUGACUUCUUCAAGAAAGACCAAGAAUGAUAGAAGUUGUUACAGGAAUAGAAGGCAAUGACGAUGACCAAGAGAAAGAGAACGGUACACCCUUCUCUGGAGAGGAUCGUGCUUAUGAUGCGUAUUAGUAGGCCAGAGCCUACUAUUUUGGAACACCUGGAGGCUAUAGAUCAGGAGAUCUCUAAGAUCCUUUAGUUCAUUAAGGAGUUCCGAUGCCUCAAUAAUAGGGAUGAAGACUGGGCUUUGGAGAAGCGGGUGAAGGACAAACCACUAUAGAAAAAAGAAGGGGGGACAAAGAGAGAAAGAGAUGGCUAGUUGGGACCUAUUUUCCCAUAAGGGGAAAAAUGCUUUUGGAACUCAUUUUAUAAAAAGGAACGUUUUGGUCCCAUGUUUUGGGAAAUGCAAACUCUCUUGUGUAUGGAAGUCAAUGAUUUGGACAAGGUUUGGGUAAAAGUUUUUUUCUACCAUGUAUUUUGCAA